AGGAAGCGCUGCGGUGGAACGGGACGAUCGUGUUGCAUAGAUUGAAGCCAACGGGAAGUGGUAAAAAAAAAUAAACAGGAAGUGGUCAAACAUACACAGGAAGUGAGAAGGAGAGACACAAACAGGAAGAAGGAAACGUUCAACUGGCGCUAUCCAAUAGGUGACGGGAUUACUAAGAAGUUGUUUUGUACACAAAUGAUUACAAUCAUACUAUCAUUACUCGUGUCGACUACCAUGUCUUCCUCCGUAUAAUGUUCUUGUCACAAAAUGAGUGGAUUUCAAGCGAAAUUCAGCUCUGAUGGACACGGUGACGUUUAGCAUGACGUCACCUGACAUGGCUGCCCAACAUCAACCUUCUACGUGACGGGAUGCGGCGGAGAAUGAGAAGGCGCCAUGAGAAGGAGGAGGAGGAGCGACGUCUGAUGUGACCAAGAAAAAAAAAAAUGAAUGAUGUCCAUGCAGACAACCUGCCACGCAGCCUUCAUGCGAUUAAAAAGAGAAGGAAAAAAAAGCCUCAGCGUUAGCAGGCCUCCGGAGGCCGACUCACUGCCUGCAGCAGAGGAGGAGGAAGCGGCGGCAGGGGCAAGGGCGGCCCCGGCCGAGUUGGUGAGAGAAGAGGAGGAGCUAAGCCCCACGUGGGUGGGGCUAGAGAGAGUUUUGGCGGCGGCGGCGGCGUCAUUGUGCUGGCUGACGACAGACGGCUGGCGGCGCAGGGCACCGGGCACGGCCGCCUGGCCCGUCUGGAAGGUAUAGACCACAUCCAUCUGGAGGAAGGACACAGGGUUAGAAAGCAAACACCCGAGGAAGCAAGAAAGGAAGGAAGCAAGGAUUCUUUUUUAGUGAAAUUAGAGGAAGUAGUUAGGAAAGCUGAUUAAUUGGUUUGUGAUAAAGAUAAAAAGAUAAAGGGAUUUUCUGCCUUAAAAUCAGAUUAAAACAGAGUAGUCGAAUUGUGGAAGAAAACAAUUGUUCAUGUAGCAAACUGUGCAGCUCACCGGCCACAACAUUAGGUACACCCGCACUAAACAAUGACAUCCAAUAGAAGAAUUGCAGCAGUAUAAUAAACAACAACAUAAUAUAAUGGCCGCCAUGUUGUUUUGAUCAGCAUUUGUUGGUCAUUUGCAGGAUUCCACAAAAAAAAAAAAACAUUUGAAUGAAAAUGUUACAUUUUGGUGCAAAUCUGAAUGGAAAAAAAAAUCUUUUUUUUCCCUUAGUCAAAAAAAAAAAAAGAAAAGUCAAAAAUGUGAUUUUUUCUUCUUUUGACCAGGGGCAUAAUGGUACCCCAUAAUCACAGUCACAGUUUGGUUCGUUGUCAGUACACUAAGUCAACUAAAAUUGCUUUACUUUUAUGCAAACAGCUUCAGAAAGAACAGGAGACUAACAAUGCAAAAGGGUUUUCAAGAUCUGGCGCCUCCUUGGCACUUGAACACUAGACAUUUUAACCCAUACCUGUCAACAUUUGCAUUUAAAAAUAAAAGUAAGGGCCAUAGACAGGAGCCAUAGGAGGGUAUAUUGUCUGAAUGAGGACAAGACAAGAAUCAAACAUAGCAGAUAAUGUCGCCAUUGUCACAGGAUCCAAAUUACAAGUUCACCAAAUCUGGAGUUUCCCACCGCAAUCGGUGGGUCUACCCGUUUUUUGUUUUGUUUUUUUAACACCAAUAGUCCUGCAAAAAAAACUAUAAUAACCACAUAACACGUUACCAACGCUGUAAAAACACUCAAAUGCUAAAGCUAGUUAGCAUCGAGAGACGUCUUGAAGUAACCUCUUUUCUUGAGAAACUUCAGAAUGUCCGGUUUCUACUUCCGGAUCGGAUUCGGGAUCCAACACAUAUGACUGUAUGUUAAAAAACUUUAAUCCACUCCUAUAAAGUUGAUCGGAAGUUCUCCCAAGCAUUUGGGAGUGUGACCAACUACAGCGGAGUGGGCGUGGAUGUAAUAAAGUAAAACAGACCGUAUUCUCGGGAAGCACAAACUCCAAAGAAAUACAGCUGAAUAGGUGCAGAUUCUGGAAGAUCUGGAAAGCUUUCCGUGCUGCUUAUCAAUAGGAGUCCACAAAUUGAUACAAAGGGCCGAAAUGAUGGAAGGAUGGAGGAGGAUGAUGGAAGAGAUUAGCGAGAACAAAGCAAAAGAACGACAACAAACAUUAGUUAGCAUAAGACAAAGAGCGUAAGCGUGGAAAGAAAGUCUGAUAGAAGCGAGGAACGAAGGAAGACACGGAAGAGCGCACAAAGAACCUGAAAGCACUUUGAGGAAAAUGUGUCACUCGGAAUGACUGAUAAGCUGCGGACAGCGAGGUGCGGCUUGUAGCAAUUAUAGCUCACAGUGUAGCUAGCACGCUGGCCGUCAGGAUUAAGAGGAGGACAGGAAGAGGAGCGUGGAGAGAUAAGAAGCUAAUUAGCUCGCAGCCUUUUUGUCGCCUACUUCCCCCCCCUCCUAUCGUCCCCCAGCGCCACUCCUUUCCGGGGUGGGGUGGGAUGGGGGGGGAACGAUAUUCCAGAUAUAAAGAAAUGAGAGCGAAAACAGCGGCACUGUGACGGUACCUACUUUCCAUUCACAGGAGGUGUGAAGGUAUCAAACCCUCCACGGAGGUCCGCUGCAACACUUCAUCAACAUGCUUCUAUGCUAUGCUAUGCUAUUCUAUUCAACUUUGCACUAAAGCAUAAAUAUUUCAUUACAGAAGGACCCCAUAACUUUAGCUCUAGUAACUACAGUGGAACUGUCAUACAAGUGUAAAAAGAAGUUAACUAUCAAUAUUAAUGCACACUGUUCAUCAUAAGCCGCUUCUUAAUUCACUAAUAUGUUAAUGUACUACAUUCAGACUGAACGUAGAAGUUUUAAUUUAAAUAAGAUUUUUAUUUAAGAUUUUUAAGAUUUUUUUUUAUGAAUAUACAUUCAUUCAUUCAUUCAUUCAUUCAUUCAUUUUCUACCACUUAUCCUCAUGAGGGUCGCAGGGGCUGCUGGAGCCUAUCCCAGCUGUCUUCGGGCGAGAGGCGGGGUCGCCAACCAAUCACAGGGCACAUAUAGACAAACAACCAUUCACACUCACAUUCAUACCUAUGGACAAUUUGGAGUCGCUAAUUAACCUAGCAUGUUUUUGGAAUGUGGGAGGAAACCGGAGUACCCGGAGAAAACCCACGCAUGCACGGGGAGAACAUUUAUUAUUAUUAUUAUUAUUUAUUAACUGUACAGUGUUUUAAUCA